rnacentral:misc_RNA from 1 species
AAAUAUAUACAUAUGCAGUUCAUCGUUUGAAGAUUUCUAAAAAUAAGCAACCCUACAAAAACAUAUGAUCCCACUAUAUUGAAAUUGAUAAAAAAUAAAACAUGACAGUUGUUGUCUUUUCGUACUUUGGACAAUUUACCACUAGUAGUUCUAUAUUUUUUUAUAAAAAUAAAGGAAUGAUACAAGGUCGUAAGUUAAUUGGAAAAAAUCCAUUAGACUUUCGAAAUGCUCGAGCACGCCAACCUGAAAUUGUACGAUCUGUUCAAAAAGAUGCCAAAUACACAGAAGAACUAACAGAAGAUUUUUCGGAUCUCCUGCGUUUAACCGGCUCUCGCAGUUGGAUAAAAUACAAUCAACUGUGUAAACUCUUUGCCGAAAUCAGUUAUCAUGGAUUUGCGUCAAUUAAUAAUUUACAAACACUUGGUGAAGAAUACACUGGUAUUAUUCAAGUUGAUAAUGCAUAUAUGAACAUUCCAUCCCGUUUGUUACAACUAGUUGCAAUCAUACUGGAAUUCGGUGGAGACGCUUUAUUUGUUCGAAUUUUGGAAAAACUUGAAAAAUUCAUCAAAGAUAAUGAGGAAAUUGUCCCGGAUGCAAAGGAAAAACUAUUAAGGGUGCUGCGAUUAUUAUAUUACAGUCCACAAUAUAUAAAGGCCUUACAUAAAUCAUUAUUUUAUGUGAGUUCCGGUAAAUACCAAAUCUCCAAGCGUUUCACAGGCUUAAACUACGUCCUAAUACGCCACUGGUUACAACCAGAAUUUUCAUUAUACGGAUAUAAAAUACUUGGAGUUAUAACAUUUCUACAAGUAACUAUGUCACUAAUAAUAAAUGCAUACGAAUAUUGGAAAGAACAUAAAAGAAAGAAGUUAGAGAAUACAAACAGCUCUUCUAGAAGGCUAAUCAAUGCAGAGAAAAAUGCAAAUUCCGAGAAGUCUGAGGCGCCACAGUGCAUCCUUUGCCUUGAUUCACGUACUAAUGCGACCUUGACGCCAUGUGGACAUUUAUUUUGUUGGAAUUGUAUCCUUGAUUGGCUGGAUGAACGUGAUGAAUGCCCUUUGUGCAGAGAAAAGCUAAAGAAGUCCAAUGUAAUACCUUUACAAAACUAUUUAUAAAGCUUAACUUUUUAGAAAUUGGUAUAGGGUAUUUUUUGUCAUAUGAAUUAAUAAAAAAUGGUACUUGUAAGAUUUUAAAAUAAAAAUUUCACCACGGUUCAGUGUUCCCUGGUUUCCAUAAUCCUCUAAAAAAAACAUUUCCGGCCUUUUUUUAAGAGGGCUACCCGAAAUUUUUGAAGUUUUUUUUUUGGAUGUAUCAAGAGGCCCUUACGAAAAAUAAACAAAACUACACUGUACAAAAUAUAUGAUCAGAUUCAAGAAAAGUGUUCUAACGCCAUUAGUUUUAUUUACGAAUUAGGGAUUAAUAACAACAUUAAAGGAAUUCGACCUCAAAACGGAAAACGAAAAAAAUUAUACAUCAGGUGGCAACAUACCUUUGAGUAUUUUGUUUUCUUUGUUUUCACCAGACAUCGCAAUAGUUGCACUGUUGCAGCUGAACUAAAUAUUUUCACUACUUGUGAGGCGCUGAUGAAGAAAACAUAAGGAUUACUUGGGAAGCGCCUCUAUAACAUUUGACGAAAUCAUAAAGUUAGCUGAAAAUAAACAACAAAUUGAAUCUUUUUUUUUAUCAAAAACAAAAAAGUUUAUCUGCAUAUUUUUGAGUACAUCUAUAUAUAAUAUUUAGUUUUGCCUUGUCACUAAGAUUAGCAUAAAAAACUUUGAAGUAGU